rnacentral:rRNA from 1 species
UAAAUCAGUUAUCGUUUAUUUGAUAGUACCUUACUACUUGGAUAACCGUGGUAAUUCUAGAGCUAAUACAUGCUGAAAACCCCGACUUCGGGAGGGGUGUAUUUAUUAGAUAAAAAACCAACGCCCUUCGGGGCUUCUUGGUGAUUCAUGAUAACUUAACGAAUCGCAUGGCCUUGCGCCGGCGAUGGUUCAUUCAAAUUUCUGCCCUAUCAACUUUCGAUGGUAGGAUAGUGGCCUACCAUGGUAUCAACGGGUAACGGGGAAUUAGGGUUCUAUUCCGGAGAGGGAGCCUGAGAAACGGCUACCACAUCCAAGGAAGGCAGCAGGCGCGCAAAUUACCCAAUCCCGACACGGGGAGGUAGUGACAAUAAAUACUGAUACAGGGCUCUUUUGGGUCUUGUAAUUGGAAUGAGUACAAUUUAAAUCCCUUAACGAGGAACAAUUGGAGGGCAAGUCUGGUGCCAGCAGCCGCGGUAAUUCCAGCUCCAAUAGCGUAUAUUAAAGUUGUUGCAGUUAAAAAGCUCGUAGUUGAACCUUGGGCCUGGCUGGCCGGUCCGCCUCACCGCGUGCACUGGUCCGGCCGGGCCUUUCCUUCUGGGGAGCCGCAUGCCCUUCACUGGGUGUGUCGGGGAACCAGGACUUUUACUUUGAAAAAAUUAGAGUGUUCAAAGCAGGCCUUUGCUCGGAUACAUUAGCAUGGAAUAAUAGAAUAGGACGUGCGGUCCUAUUUUGUUGGUUUCUAGGACCGCCGUAAUGAUUAAUAGGGAUAGUCGGGGGCAUCAGUAUUCAAUUGUCAGAGGUGAAAUUCUUGGAUUUAUUGAAGACUAACUACUGCGAAAGCAUUUGCCAAGGAUGUUUUCAUUAAUCAGUGAACGAAAGUUAGGGGAUCGAAGACGAUCAGAUACCGUCGUAGUCUUAACCGUAAACUAUGCCGACUAGGGAUCGGGCGAUGUUAUCAUUUUGACUCGCUCGGCACCUUACGAGAAAUCAAAGUCU